UAUUGAGAACUUGUCGCGCGAGAACGGAGUUUUGGCGUUCCUCAGCUAAACUGUGAACAAACGGUUUGCUGACCUCCGUCGGUUAUGCAGGGAACGGGGGCUGCAGCAGGUGCAUCAGAGCUAAGACCUGCGAUUCAAAAAAAAACAACGUAUAUUACCAGGCCAUCAGACUGUUGAACAGCCAUCGCUAGCCGUCUGCUUUUGUCUCGUUCUAGUCACACCAUCUUCAGAGAGCUGCACGCAUGGAGAUGUUUCCCCCACGUUCACUGACUGGCCUGCUUCAUCAGAUAUGCUUGUGAUGGUUCACAGCAGCAUCAAGCACCAUCACCCUCAAAAAAAUAUAUUUUGAUACUUGGUGCCUCUUCAAAAGGCAGGUGAUUGUUGGAAGGCUGAUGGAUGCCACAUUGGCAAAGGUGUGUUCGUUCUCCUCAAUGGCCUGCUAUAUUUCGGACAGCCGUAUGUCAUUCCUGGCCCUCACCAUUUCCACCACUGCCCACUCCUGCUGGUCGGUCAGCACAUGGCCACCACCACGAGGUCUUCUGUCAAUUCUGAGGGAAGAACAGUAUACUGUCAAAAUAUCAUAUUGUAAGAAAUAAUACUUUAACAUGUUUUGUGAAUUUACAUGCAUUACAAUAUGUCAUUUACUGUAAAAGUAAUGGUAAAUCAUAGUGCAUAUCCUGCAGACUUACCGGUUUUCUUGGCAAAGUGUUCUCAUGAUCGAAUUGACAGUUGAUCUUUUCAGAUUGGGGUGAACUAAUGUGGCAGCCUCUGCCUUGGUAAGGCCUCUGUUUACCACAUGGUCAACGACAAUGGCCCGGACUUCAUUAGGCACAACAGUUCCCUGCCGUCUGCCUCCCUCUGAUGUUCACGUCUUUGACGGGCCCCUUGUCCACAAGCUCUUUUUUUUUUUCUUCAUUUCCCUUGCUGUCUAUCCUGCUCCUGUUCACCCCCCCACCCCCUUUUAUAUGGGGACCAAUUGUGGUUACCACUAUGUGAAAUCAAUUAGCAAUAAGGAGUAUUCAUUGUGUAUGGUUAUCAUGUAUCAUACAUGUAAUUUAGAUGUUUAUACUUUACAAACACACAUUUUAUUUCUGUAGUUCUCAAAAUCCAUAUAUAGUAGACAAAGCAGUUUAAAAUCUAUAGUUUUACUAAACGGUUAAGUGAUUAACCAUUUAAGCGCAGUUGGAUUAAGUGAUGGUCAAACUUAUUUAAACAAAUGAGAAGAGAAUCAUAUGAAAAUUAUUGUUUGCAUUGCAUUGUAAAAGGCAAUUACUUUAUAUGAAAGGUAUUUCUAGAUGAAACCCUGAUUAGGUUUGGUGGAAAAGUUACUGUGUGAUUUUGUGUGUUGUACUUAGUCAAUUGAAAAUGUGCUUAAAGUUUUGAAAAAACAGCCUUUUCGAUGAUCUGUUUUGAGUUUUGUACUAAGAGUUGUGAAAUUUUAGCACAUACUUGUGGAAAUAGUCCCAAAGUGAUAAAAAAAAACUGUAAUCAGAUUUGUCCCACCGUUCUUGAUUUCUUGUCUUAUUUGUAUUUUUUCCCCUUACAUUUUAAUUGUUUGACAUUUUCCUGCAUUGUAAGGAGCUAGUAACAUAAGCAUUUCGCUCCACCCGCUAUAACACUUGCUAAACUGU